rnacentral:lncRNA from 10 species
UUUAUGUUUUUGAGACGGAGUCUUGCUCUGUUGCCCAGGCUGGAGUGCAGUGGCGCGAUCUUGGCUCACUGCAAGCUCCGCCUCCCGGGUUCACGCCAUUCUCCUGCCUCAGCCUCCCGAGUAGCUGGGACUACAGGUGCCUGUCACCACGCCCGGCUAGCUUUCUCAUUUUCAAGUGGAUUUGUUUGCAUUGGAUGGUGGGGCUGGCUUUAUUGCAUUAUUCAUAUAUGCAAUACAUAUGCACCAUGGUCCCAAGACAUGACUCGUGGUGGUGGUGAUUGUAUUUUUGAGAUGUAGCUGAUACCUCCCAUCCUCUGGACUUCUUUGGUUCACAUCUUUAUUUUCACUAACCAGUAACUGAAAAUCUAAUAUUUUCUUUGAUUUUGAAUGUAGUCAGCAAACCCAGUAGCAUUACAGAUGGAGUAUCCCUUAUCCGAAAUACUUAGGACCAGCAAGUGUUGUAGAUUUAGGGCUUUGGAAUAUUUGCAUUGUACUCACCAGUUGAGCAUCCCAAAUCUGAAAAUCCAAAAUGCUCUGAUGAGCAUUUCCUUUGAGUGUCAUGUCGGUGCUCAAAAGUUUCCAAUUUUGGAGCAUUUAGAUUUUGGAUUUUUGGGCUAGGGAUCCUCAGCCUGUAGCAGUUCCUGUGACUAUAACAUCAAUAAAAUCACAGUACCAUGAUCUGUUUCUACACUGAACACUUCUGACAUCAGAUGUGUCAGAGUUUUCCCCACACCAGCAACCAGUUCUCUGAUUCUCUGGUCACCAACUGGGUCUCCAGUGAUCAGUUAAAUUCUGACACUAACAACCUGAAGUUAGCACAGACCCCACAAGUUAAGGGCUCAGUCUCACAAGACUGCCCCAAGAUACCCACUGACCUGCUAUAAAUCAAGUUCCCACCACCUCCUCCUCAGGGUCAGUCAUUUGCUAGAAUGGCCCACAGAACUUAGAACACUCUUUACUUACAUUUACUGGUUUAUUAUAAAGAAUACCACUCAAGGCCGGGUGCGGUGGCUCACGCCUGUAAUCCCAGCACUUUGGGAGGCUGAGGCGAGCGGAUCACCAGGUCAGGAGAUCGAGACCAUCCUGGGUAACACGGUGAAACUCCGUCUCUACUAAAAAUACAAAAAGUUAGCCGGGCAUGGUGGCGGGCACCUGUAGUCCCAGCUAAUCGGGAGGCUGAGGCAGGAGAACGGCGUGAACCUGGGAGUCAGAGCUUGCAGUGAGCCAAGAUUGCGCCACUGGACUCCAGCCUGAGCAACAGAGUAAGACUCCGUC